UCUCUGAAAGGAAUAGAAAAGUUAGCUUUGACAACGAUAUAUAAACACAGGCAAAUAAUUUCGCUCACAUUCUCAAGUCUCAACAACACAACUCUCUUUCUCUCUCUAUCGCCCUCCGUUACAGCACAUCAGUUCGCUAUCAUUUCUACAAUGGCGUCAUCUUACAGGCAGUUCACCGCCGGUCCCUCCGCAUCACACACUACUAUAUUUGAAUCACGAAAACCGACACGAACGGCAGUGAAUUUAUGCCUAUUACGGGAUCAGAGAAAUCAUCGACCCUGGCUCGUCCUAAAAUCGCUAAAACAACGUUCGAAUUCUCACGCGGCGUGGUUGGGAGGAGUGUGGGAGAGAUCAGAGGGAGAGGAAGCGGUGGUGGAGAAGAAGAAGGCCGGGACGUGGUCUUACGCAGUGGAGAAAAGGAGGAGUAGUGAUGAAAAUAGUCGGAAGGUGGAAGUGGUGGUGGCGGCAGCGGUCACGGUGGUUCUCGGGGUCGGAAAUCGAGUGUUGUACAAACUGGCGCUUGUUCCUCUCAAGCAUUACCCCUUCUUUCUUGCCCAGCUUGCUACUCUCGGGUAUGUAGUUGUAUAUUAUUCUAUCUUGUACCUUCGUUACCAUGCUGGCAUUGUCACAGAUGAGAUGCUUUCCAUGCCAAAAGCUCCAUUUUUGCUUGUUGGCCUUUUGGAGGCUCUUGCUGCUGCUACUGGAAUGGCUGCUGGAGCAAUUCUUUCUGGAGCAUCAAUCCCAAUUUUGUCUCAGACUUUUCUUGUAUGGCAAAUUCUCCUAUCCUUUAUUUUCCUUGGAAGAAGAUAUAGAGUCAACCAAUUACUUGGAUGUUUUCUUGUAGCCAUUGGUGUAAUCAUUACUGUAGCAAGUGGAUCUAGUGGUCAUUCCUUGAAGGAUGCUGGUAUAUUUUGGAGUAUUCUGAUGAUAAUUUCUUUUCUCUUGCAAGCAGCUGAUACAGUACUAAAGGAAAUAAUCUUUAAAAAUGCAGCUGAGCGAUUAAAAGGAGGUUCAGUGGAUCUAUUUGUUGUAAAUUCCUAUGGAUCUGCAUUUCAGGCUCUGUUUAUAUGCAUUUUGCUACCAUUUUUGUCAAAGUUAUGGGGUAUUCCAUUUAUUCAACUUCCAAACUAUCUUAGAGAUGGUGCAGCCUGCUUUCUGAACAUUGGUACUUUAUCAAAUGUGAUGGUCUAACAGCAGGAGAAGAGGAUUUAUAAGAACAGAACGGAUAUAACCACAACUUGCACUUUGUAGGCUGUGUUGUCAUCCAGAUUAGUUCUUCUUUCCUGCUUUAGAAACCUUUCUGCUGAGAUGAUAUUGCAUAUUAAUGUCAAAAAUUGAUUGAUUUAAAUUCUUUGCAAUUUUUUUGUGUAGGAUGUGAUGGUGCACCGCUGCUCCCUAUAUUGUUCAUUCUUGUCAACAUGGGUUAUAACAUAUCAUUGCUGCAUCUCCUCAAGAUUUCUUCAGCAGUAGUCUCCUGCCUUGCUUCCACAUUUUCAGUGCCAAUAUCAGUGUAUGUCUUCACAUUGCCACUACCAUACCUUGGCGUUGCAUCGUCUCUCCCAGCUGGCUUUGUCGUGGGAGCAAUCAUACUUGUAAUGGGCUUGCUUAUCUAUGCCUGGACACCAAAAGUGACUUCUUCUGGUGGCUCUUCUUCCUCAUCUACAACCAGUUAACAUAUGGUAAAUCAUCAUUAGCAUUGCCAUUUUCAAGCUCAGAAACUACUGCAAGCUAGUUUCCCAGUUAAUCCAAGGAAGAGGAAGAACAUUGUUGUUAUCAUAACUGCAAUUUUUGUUAAGCUUGAAUUAGCUAGUUUUCAUUCUUCAUUGAUCCACCAUGUGUAAGAGUUAAAAAAAAUAAAUAAUAAUAAAAGGGUGGCUCAAAAAUUUUUCUUGAUCCCCUUCACUAAUAAUGUUCGA